rnacentral:rRNA from 1 species
CCCUUAGAUGUUCUGGGCCGCACGCGCGCUACACUGUUCGACGCAGCGAGUCUUAACCUUGACCGAAAGGUUUGGGUAAUCUUCAGCAAAGUCGAACGUGAUGGGGAUCGAUCAUUGCAAUUAUUGAUCGUGAACGAGGAAUUCCUAGUAAGUGCAAGUCAUCAGCUUGCGCUGACUACGUCCCUGCCCUUUGUACACACCGCCCGUCGCUACUACCGAUUGAAUGGUUUAGUGAGAUCUCUGGAUUGACGCUGGCUAGGGGGCGACCCUUGGCCAGACUGCUCGAGAAACUGCUCAAACUUGAUCAUUUAGAGGAAGUAAAAGUCGUAACA